CUUUUACAAUGAAGAGUUUGAUCCUGGCUCAGGAUGAACGCUAGCUACAGGCUUAACACAUGCAAGUCGAGGGGCAUCAGGAAGAAAGCUUGCUUUCUUUGCUGGCGACCGGCGCACGGGUGAGUAACACGUAUCCAACCUGCCCUUUACUCGGGGAUAGCCUUUCGAAAGAAAGAUUAAUACCCGAUGGCAUAAUGAUUCCGCAUGGUUUCAUUAUUAAAGGAUUCCGGUAAAGGAUGGGGAUGCGUUCCAUUAGGUUGUUGGUGAGGUAACGGCUCACCAAGCCUUCGAUGGAUAGGGGUUCUGAGAGGAAGGUCCCCCACAUUGGAACUGAGACACGGUCCAAACUCCUACGGGAGGCAGCAGUGAGGAAUAUUGGUCAAUGGGCG
rnacentral:rRNA from 1 species